CCACUCUCAUAGAAAGUGUAGUGGGCUUAUGGUAUUAAAGUAACAAUCAUACCAGGCACACAGAUCCCAUGUGAAAUAACUUACAAUAAAACAGAGUAAUACGCUUAUACUUCUAUGUGACAUAAAGAAUAAAGCAAAAAGAGUUUAACUAUUUCAUAUCCUUACAGUCAGCACUAAUGAUUAUAAACCUUAUCUAAGCAUAAAAUACAUAUGAACAAGAAAAGUUAACUACUUCAUAUUCUUGCAUGGUAAUUUCCCAUUUCUAGGACAAAUCUUUCAAACACUUAUUCACACUCACAACCAGACUUAACUAAUGACAAUUAGAGGGUGGACAAGGUGAACCUGAAACUCUGUGCACACUAUCGUAGUAUAUUCACUUAUAUACUAAAUUCUCUGUCUAUAUCACUUUAUAGAC